AGGUACGCUGGGGGGGAACCUCCUUCAGGAGGAGAACUCCAUCAAGGGAUUUCAUUGGUCGGAUUGCUUUACCACUACCCAAUCCCUGGCUAAGGUUUCUGGCACAAUGAGCCACCCACUCCCUGGAAAAACUCACCUGCUCCUCACUCCAGAGAAGAUGAAGAAGGUGAUAAAAGGAAAAUUGAAAGGCAGAAGCUCCAUUAUCCUGACACAGACAGAGGAGUUGGGACCCACUGCCCUUAAGACUGACAUGACCUGGUUUCUGAAUAGGAAGUGUCAAUGAAAGACCUCCCCCAUGACGUCCCAGAAAGACUGAGUCCCUUCCAUCUCCUUUCACCAUCCCCAGCCCCUUCCAGUCACUCCUCAAAUGAACUGCUGUGAUUGGAGGCUCUA